rnacentral:tRNA from 1 species
GCCGGGGUGGCUCAGUUGGUAGAGCGUCGGACUCAUAAUCCGAAGGUCUUGGGUUCGAUCCCCGAUCCCGGCA